rnacentral:rRNA from 1 species
AGUGAACGCUGGCGGUAGGCCUAACACAUGCAAGUCGAACGGCAGCACAGUAAGAGCUUGCUCUUACGGGUGGCGAGUGGCGGACGGGUGAGGAAUACAUCGGAAUCUACUUUUUCGUGGGGGAUAACGUAGGGAAACUUACGCUAAUACCGCAUACGACCUACGGGUGAAAGCAGGGGAUCUUCGGACCUUGCGCGAUUGAAUGAGCCGAUGUCGGAUUAGAUAGUUGGCGGGGUAAAGGCCCACCAAGGCGACGAUCCGUAGCUGGUCUGAGAGGAUGAUCAGCCACACUGGAACUGAGACACGGUCCAGACUCCUACGGGAGGCAGCAGUGGGGAAUAUUGGACAAAGGGCGCAAGCCUGAUCCAGCCAUACCGCGUGGGUGAAGAAGGCCUUCGGGUUGUAAAGCCCUUUUGUUGGGAAAGAAAAGCAGCAGGUUAAUACCCCGCUGUUCUGACGGUACCCAAAGAAUAAGCACCGGCUAACUUCGUG